rnacentral:rRNA from 1 species
CCUACGGGAGGCAGCAGUGGGGAAUCUUAGACAAUGGGGGAAACCCUGAUCUAGCCAUGCCGCGUGAUCGAUGAAGGCCUUAGGGUUGUAAAGAUCUUUCAGAUGGGAAGAUAAUGACGGUACCAUCAGAAGAAGCCCCGGCUAACUCCGUGCCAGCAGCCGCGGUAAUACGGAGGGGGGCUAGCGUUAUUCGGAAUUACUGGGCGUAAAGCGCACGUAGGCGGAUCAGAAAGUCAGAGGUGAAAUCCCAGGGCUCAACCUUGGAACUGCCUUUGAAACUCCUGGUCUUGAGGUCGAGAGAGGUGAGUGGAAUUCCGAGUGUAGAGGUGAAAUUCGUAGAUAUUCGGAGGAACACCAGUGGCGAAGGCGGCUCACUGGCUCGAUACUGACGCUGAGGUGCGAAGCGUGGGGAGCGAACAGGAUUAGAUACCCUGGUAGUCCACGCCGUAAACGAUGAAUGCCAGUCGUCGGGUAGCAUGCUAUUCGGUGACACACCUAACGGAUUAAGCAUUCCGCCUGGGGAGUACGGUCGCAAGAUUAAAACUCAAAUGAAUUGCCGGNNGAGAGNGCGAGACGACGACGAGGAGAG